ACUCCUACGGGAGGCAGCAGUGGGGAAUAUUGCACAAUGGGCGCAAGCCUGAUGCAGCCAUGCCGCGUGUAUGAAGAAGGCCGUUCGGGUUGUAAAGUACUUUCAGCAGUGAGGAAGGUGGGUAUGUUAAUAGCAUACUCAUUUGACGUUAGCUGCAGAAGAAGCACCGGCUAACUCCGUGCCAGCAGCCGCGGUAAUACGGAGGGGGUUAGCGUUGUUCGGAAUUACUGGGCGUAAAGCGCGCGUAGGCUGACUAUUAAGUCAGGGGUGAAUCCGGGGCUCAACCCCGAACGGCCCUUGAUACUGGUAGUCUUGAGUUCGAGAGAGGUGAGUGGAAUUCCGAGUGUAGAGGUGAAAUUCGUGAAUAUUCGGAGGAACACCAGUGGCGAAGGCGGCUCACUGGCUCGGAUCACUGACGCUGAGGUGCGAAAGUGUGGUAGCAAACAGGAUUAGAUACCCUGGUAGGCCUGCU
rnacentral:rRNA from 1 species